UACGAAGGGGGCUAGCGUUGCUCGGAAUCACUGGGCGUAAAGCGCACGUAGGCGGAUUGUUAAGUCAGGGGUGAAAUCCUGGAGCUCAACUCCAGAACUGCCUUUGAUACUGGCGAUCUUGAGUCCGGGAGAGGUGAGUGGAACUGCGAGUGUAGAGGUGAAAUUCGUAGAGAUCCGGAGGAACACCAGUGGCGAAGGCGACACGCUGGGCCGUACCUGACACUGAUGCGCGACAGCAUGGGGAGCAAACAGG
rnacentral:rRNA from 1 species